CUGGUGUGCAACUGAAGGGAGGAGGGAGCAGGCGUUCCUCUGCUGCUGAAGAGGGCUGUGGAAACUUAAGUCAUAGACAUGCUUCAGUGAGAGGAUGAGGAUUUGCCCAGAUGGGAAGCUUCAAGUGCAGAGGCACUUGUACAUCUACUUAUCUUGAGUCUCAAUGAUGCUGUUUAUGAGUGAGCUAUUCAAAUGGAGGAAGAAACCCACGGAGAAGGAGAAAUAACAGGUCGGAGUGAUUAUGUACAGAAGGAUAGGCUCUAGCAGGAGUCCAGUGGGAAAGAAGGAAGGGAAUACAAUUAAGAAUUAUUAAUGGCAGAUCUCUAAUGAUUUCACUGGAUCCAAAGGAACAGGGCAAUACUGAGUAAGAAACACUUGAUAUACGAAAAAAGCGUGAGUGCGAAGGAAAAUACAUCAUUCUACAGAUGUUGACGGACUCUGACGGUGGGAAAGCGUCCCUCAAGAUUGAAUUGGAGUAGAAGCUGACCCUCCCACUUGCCCAGAGAUCCCCUAGCUGGAUACGAUUUCAGCAAUAGAACACUUGAUCAUCACAGUGCUUGGCAUAUACAGAAAAAUCAAACGCCCAGAGAGGUCAAGAUGUCUGCAAAGAGACACAGAGUGAUGCAAUGGAAAUCCUGUGUGGAGGUCUCCAGAAGGCUAAUUUCUGAAGCAGUGUUCUAUCCACAUGACCGUGCUGCUGCUCAUUAAGAUGGUACCUCUCAUUAAGAUAAAGCAUAAUCAUUAAAAAUCCUUUAGCUUGCUCACAUUAACUACCAUUGUGCGUCACAGGUCUAAUGCUUCAUGAAAGCUCAGAGUGAAUUAGACAUUUUAUUUAAGUGCUACUUAACUAAAAGUUAAAAAGUAUAAUUUUCUAUUGCAGCAUAAGAACUGGAGAGACUAAUUUGGUGUGGUUGUUAAAUUUUACAAAGCCUGAUUCUCAAUUUUCAAAAAAUAUUGUACAUUUAUUUAUUGAAGUGAAUGAAACAUUUGCUAUAAAACUAUUCAACGGAAAGUUUUUUAACAAAGCAUAAUUUACUUUUCAUUUACAGAACAAUGGAAAGUAGAAAGAAAUCUCCUCCAAGGUAUUAGAAUCAUGUACAGUUUCAUAUUUGACUAAAAAAUUAUUUCCCCAGCCUGUUUUCUCAACACUAAGGAUAUGCAGAAAAGUAUCACUUGCAUUCAUCAUGAAAAUUACAGAAAAAUGACUGAAACUACUGAGAACAUUAUUAAAUAAAACAUAUACUUAUUAUCUGU
rnacentral:lncRNA from 1 species